rnacentral:rRNA from 1 species
GAUGAACGCUGGCGGCGUGCCUAAUACAUGCAAGUAGAACGCUGAAGCUUGGUGCUUGCACCGAGUGGAUGAGUUGCGAACGGGUGAGUAACGCGUAGGUAACCUGCCUCUUAGCGGGGGAUAACUAUUGGAAACGAUAGCUAAUACCGCAUAAAAGUCGACAUCGCAUGAUGUUGACUUGAAAGGUGCAAUUGCAUCACUAAGAGAUGGACCUGCGUUGUAUUAGCUAGUUGGUGAGGUAACGGCUCACCAAGGCGACGAUACAUAGCCGACCUGAGAGGGUGAUCGGCCACACUGGGACUGAGACACGGCCCAGACUCCUACGGGAGGCAGCAGUAGGGAAUCUUCGGCAAUGGGGGCAACCCUGACCGAGCAACGCCGCGUGAGUGAAGAAGGUUUUCGGAUCGUAAAGCUCUGUUGUAAGAGAAGAACGAGUGUGAGAGUGGAAAGUUCACACUGUGACGGUAACUUACCAGAAAGGGACGGCUA